rnacentral:rRNA from 1 species
UACGUAGGGACCAAGCGUUGUUCGGAUUUACUGGGCGUAAAGGGCGCGUAGGCGGCGCGGUAAGUCACUUGUGAAAUCUCUGAGCUUAACUCAGAACGGCCAAGUGAUACUGCAGUGCUAGAGUGCGGAAGGGGCAAUCGGAAUUCUUGGUGUAGCGGUGAAAUGCGUAGAUAUCAAGAGAAACACCUGAGGUGAAGACGGGUUGCUGGGCCGACACUGACGCUGAGGCGCGAAAGCCAGGGGAGCAAACGGG